GAAAGGCUGGUGGGAGGCCCAGCCGUGGUCGCCCACCUGGCGGAUGCGGCCCAUCUAACCCGUUACUGGGAGGGUCGCCAGGUCGGGCUGCUGUUGCAGUCCGACUACCGGGACGCCGUGAACCGUAUUAGGACCCUAUGAUGUAUGACCAUCUGGAGCUGCCGUCGGCAGGAUGUGCCAUUUGUUUCAAAAUUAUUUACUCAUCCAAGUCCAUUUAAAUAAAAGUGUAUUAUAGU